rnacentral:rRNA from 1 species
UACGUAGGUGGCAAGCGUUGUCCGGAUUUACUGGGCGUAAAGAGCGCGCAGGCGGUCGUUCAAGUCGAGUGUGAAAGCCCCCGGCUCAACUGGGGAGGGUCACGCGAUACUGAUCGACUCGAAGGCAGGAGAGGGAAGUGGAAUUCCCGGUGUAGUGGUGAAAUGCGUAGAUAUCGGGAGGAACACCAGUGGCGAAGGCGACUUCCUGGCCUGUUCUUGACGCUGAGGCGCGAAAGCUAGGGGAGCAAACAGG